AUAGCUAUUUUUCUCUGCAAUCCUUGGUGAUGUGGGAGCAGGGUAAUGGUCAGAUGAGAGGAGCAGGGAUGUGGGAAGUGCAUUAGCAUAGCUUGCACAUUGUAGGAAUGAGAAGAUCAUGCAAAAAUGCAAGGAAAAUUGAAUGGAUGGCUAACCCUACCAUUAUGUGAUUGGGGAUGAAGCUAGAAAGGUGCACAGAAAAUGAAGAGGCAGCCCCAAGACCAAGAAGUCAUGGUAUGGAAGGGGUCACAGAGUAAGAGGUGAAAACGAGAGGGAAAGAGCAGGGGGAAGAGUGUAGAGAAAAGGGGGUGGAGAUAGAAGAGCGAGCCAAUCAGAGAGGAGGUUUAGGAACCAGAAGAAUGUAGAAGAGGAAAGGCAGAGAGAGAGAGAGAGAGAGAAUCACAUUCUGCCAUUCCCAGAGAAAAGGCUACUGUACCUCAUGACACCUUACUUGACUUUUCUUGAGUAACUAAUGGGAUAAGUGAAGGGACCCAGCUGAAAGUGGAAAAACUGGGGCCAGAGGAAUCUUAAAAGAAGACAAAAGAGUAUGAAAAGAAGGAAGUGGGUCACAUGCCUAUAGGUAUUAAUACCUUUUAGACUUCAAUAGUUAUUAAACAAAUAUCUUUCCCUGACUUUUCCUUUCAUGCCUUCCAUCCACCUCAAGGCUUUGGGGCUCUAAACCUCCAGCAAACUAAGCUUCUCUCAGUGCUUUUUUUCUUACCUACCCCAUCCCUCUCUCCUUCUUCCAGCCCUCCAUCUCAUUCUUAAUGAAUACUGUGCCCAUGUUCAUUUGUCAGUGGAAACCAUCCUGAUGGUAUCUCUGCCAUCCAUUCUGCAUCACCUGAAGCAAUCCAUUGGAUCACCAGUCAAGACUUGGACAUCUAACACUGCUGUUUUUAAGCCAUAUGAAAGAAAGAAAGAAAGAAAGAAAGAAAGAAAGAAAGAAAGAAAGAAAGAAAGAAGAGCUAGUGAAUCUGUUGGUUCUAAAGGUCAGUGGAUGUUGAAGAUGUCUUGGUACAUUUGGAAAUGUGGCUAUCUACUAUGGUUUGGAGGACGUGAAUGGAAGCUAAUAACACUUAGCACUGAGGAGCUCCAAGCACCUUACAAAGAAUAAUGGAAGUGAUGUGCCCCUUUGAAAAAGACUUGAAUGCAGGCCAAAGCUUUGGGAAACUGAUUCUCAAGAGGAUUAAUCAGCAUUUAAAACUUGCAUUAAUAAAAAUCUGAUCUUCUACUGUGUGGCGUGCA
rnacentral:lncRNA from 1 species